UACGUAGGGUGCAAGCGUUGUCCGGAAUUAUUGGGCGUAAAGCGCACGUAGGCGGCUUUGUAAGUUAGAGGUGAAAGCCCGGGGCUCAACUCCGGAAUUGCCUUUAAGACUGCAUCGCUAGAAUUGUGGAGAGGUAAGUGGAAUUCCGAGUGUAGAGGUGAAAUUCGUAGAUAUUCGGAAGAACACCAGUGGCGAAGGCGACUUACUGGACACAUAUUGACGCUGAGGUGCGAAAGCGUGGGGAGCAAACAGG
rnacentral:rRNA from 1 species